ensembl:lncRNA novel transcript
GAUCCUUCACUCUUUCACGUCUCCUACAAUCUCUCUCUCUCUCUCUCUCUCAUUUUCAUUUCCUCCCUCAUUUGAUUCUUUCUCCAUUUCCCUUCCCCACUGUCUGUUUCUCUCCUUUCUCUUUCCUGCCUACCCCCUGCACAGUCACAGUUGUCAGUGGCACACACACAUUCGACCCCUUUUCAGGCUGCGCUGCUAGAAUGGAGUGAAUCUGAGACCUCACAGGAGUUGCUAUGUCUCACAGGAUGACUUCUUUUUCAUUCCGGGAAAAUGGAAAAGCAAAACAAAAACAAAACAGAACAGUAACUCAGGGCUCAUAAGGAUGGAUCUUCAGUGUUAUUGAAAUAACAGCCGGCUAACAGGAAUUGUUCAGCUCACUAGACAGUUGCAGGUUUAACAUAGGGGGGUAAUUGAAUUAGAUCAUUGUCAUAUUUGGACAAGGCUCAUGCUUGUUUACGUUAAGUUAUUAGAAACAACUUAAAUCACAAGGACUAUCAAGCAUGAAAGAGAUAAUUGAUAAAUAUUUUUACUGACAAUUAUACUAGCAUAAAAGAUUGUAGAAGAAUAUUUUUAAAUGUCCAAACUAUUAUUACCUGUUUGAAUUCUUAUAAAGCUUUGCGGUCUUUGUUUUUCUCUAAAGAACUUCUAAACUACAGAGGGUCAAGAAUGUUUUCAAUAAUUCCUAAUUGUCAUAAUAAGAUCCUGUCUUUUAAUCAACAUGAUGAUGUUUAACAUGUUUAUUGUCUAUUUUCUAAAGCUUGAAUCAUUAUCAGAUGCAGACAAGUGUUUGGUGUGCAUAGACUAGACUUGUCUUUCUAUCUAGAUUUUAAGCUCCACUAGGAAAAGAACUAUAUUUAGUCCAUUUCUUGUGAUUCUAUAAUAUGUGCACUGAGUAGGCACUCAAUAUAUACUUGCUGGUUUCUGUAGAGGCUUCAAAUUGUUAUAGCCAAGAGCACAGUCUCUGAAGCCAGAAUGCCUGUGUUCAAAUCUGGGCUUAGCCACUUACCAGCUAUAUGACCUUAGGCAAAUUCCUUCACCUCUCUGUGCCUCAAUUUCUUUAUCACUGAAUAGUUAAUUAAAACCCUACUUUGUUAACUCAUUAAGUGAGCUAAUAUUUAUAUAGUGCUUAAAACUGUGUCUGACAAGUGAUAAGUACCACACAGGUAUAUGAUAUGAAGAGUAUGUUAUUAUUUUGAAUCUGUGCUGCUGUCAGUCUACUGUUUACAAACACUCGCCCAAGAAGAGAAGAUUAUCUUUUCAUGUGUUUAUUGGCCAUCUGUAUAUCUUCUUUGCCAAAGUAUCUGUUCAAGUCUUUUGCUUAUUUUUAUACCAAGGUGUUUAUUUCCUUAUUGCACUUUGAGAAUUCUUUAUAUAUUUCGGAUGUAAGUCUUUUAUCAU